GUGCAUACUAGGUGUAUGAAUAAUAUUACUUAGUGCAAAGAGUGGUAUAUGUGACCAACAAAGUGAUAUGUGCAUAUACUUGCAUAAAUAGCAAUUCUGGUAUCUGAAAGGGAGACAAAAAAGUGAGAGAACUUCUAGUGCAGCAUAAUUUAAAAUAUAUAUUGUGAAAUAAUUUAGCUCUUAAAGUAUCUCACUGACAAGAUAGGAGUGGUAAAAG